AGACAGCCCAGAGAAAUAUCACAAGGAUUAUCAGAGGGCUGGACAACCUCUCCUGUGAAGGAAAGCUGAGGGAGCUGGGAAUGGUCAGCCUGGAGAAGAGAAAGCUCCAGAGAGACCUUCCAGUGACCUUCCAGUACCUAUAGGGGGCCUACAGGAAAGACAGGGAGGGAUUAUUUGCAAGGGGGUAUAGUUAUAGGACAAAGGGUAAUGGAUUUAAACUAAAAGAGGGUACAUUGAGAUUAGAUGUAAGGAAGAAAUUCUUCACUCAGAGGGUGGUGAGGCACUGGAAUGGGCUGCCCGGAGAAGCUGUGGGUGCCCCAUCUCUGGAGGUGUUCAAGGCCAGGCUGAAUGGGGCUCUGGACAACAUGGUCUGGUGGGUGGCAUCCCUUCCCAUGGAAGGGGAUUUGGAACUGGAUGAUCUUUAAGGUUCCUUACAACCCAAAUCAUUCUGUGAUUUAGAAUUAUAAUACGAAAACAAAUAAACUUGGCAAGGAUUAAAAUUUAUUUAAUUUACUUGUACUCCGGAUUUUAUUUAUUAUUUUGUAUUGUUUAUAAAAAGUUACUAGGUAAGUGGUACUUUACAGACAUGUAACAUUUGUCUUGUUAUGGGUAAGAAAAAACACAACAAAGGAUUAGGGUUGUUGAAGGAAACAAAAUCAGUUUUGAGAGGUCAGAGAUUUUUCCAAGGUGGUAAAAUAUUAUUAUUGCCUAGUAGGAAGUAAAUUAAAGGAUUGCAAUGUAAAUUAACAGUCUCAGUAGGUUAUUGCUGUAGAAAAAAGAACUCUUCAGAAGGAUUUUAGAAAAGAGGUAAAUGGCUUUUAUUAUUUAUUUAUUUAUUUAAUGGAAAUGCUAAGGAGACUGUUGUAAACGGAGGAGGAGGAAUACGAAGGUAAAAACUUCACACAAAGAUGGAGGGGUCUGGUACAUCAGAGCCAUGGAUGUGUGCAUAGCAGUGGAAGUUAAAAAAAAAAAAAAAAAAAAAAAAAGAAUAUGGAAUACGGAGCCUCCAAAAUCCUGCUUCUUGUCAAGUUUUCCUGCAAAUCUGGAGCAUCAAAAGACUAUAGUACUUUUUAAAAAUAAACACUAUUAUAUUUCUCCCAGGGGUUUGGCCACUCUCAUUUGUUUGUUUGUUUGUUUGUUUGUUUGUUUAUUUAUUUAAGGGAGAUUACCACCUACUCUAGUUGUCUCUAACAAGCUAGCUUUCUCAGGAUUUUAAAUAUUCCAUUUUAGAUUUGCUUAAUCUAUGUGGCAAAACUUUUCCUUUGUCUUCAUCCUUAGAAGCAGAAUAAGUAUGUCCUCACUGUCCUUAAUGGGCUGUCAGAAGUUGGAAUUGAAAUAAAUGGAAUCUCCAGGGGUCCA
rnacentral:lncRNA from 1 species